GCAAGUCGAGCGAACAAUCAUUUAAAGUUUACUUUUUAUGUGAGUUAGCGGCGAACGGGUGAGUAACGCGUAAACAAUCUGCCUUUUGGUCCGGGAUAACAUCUGGAAACGGGUGCUAACACUGGAUAUUAUAUCUAGGUCGCAUGGCCAGGAUAUGAAACGGGGCUUUUAGCUAGGCCAAGAGAUGAGUUUGCGUCCCAUUAGCUAGUUGGUAGGGUAAAAGCCUACCAAGGCGACGAUGGGUAGCCGGCCUGAGAGGGUGAUC
rnacentral:rRNA from 1 species